AGAGAGAGACAUGCGCGCAUAUCAAUAAGCGGAGGAAAAGAAACUAACAAGGAUUCCCUUAGUAACGGCGAGUGAAGCGGGAAGAGCUCAAAUUUGAAAUCUUCAAGGUUUUACCUUGACGAAUUGUAGUUUAAAGAAGUGUUUUCUGCUGAAGUUUUGGUAAAAGUUCUUUGGAAUAGGACAUCAUAGAGGGUGAGAAUCCCGUAUUUGACCAUUAUUUUCAGCUUUGUGAUACACUUUCAAAGAGUCGGAUUGUUUGGGAAUGCAGUCCAAAAUGGGUGGUAAAUUUCAUCUAAAGCUAAAUAUUGGCGAGAGACCGAUAGCGAACAAGUACCGUGAGGGAAAGAUGAAAAGGAACUUUCGAAAAGAGAGUUAAACAGUACGUGAAAUUGUCAAAAGGGAAGCGUUUGACACCAGUGUUGUUUUCUCGAAAAUCAAUUAAAAAUGGCUCGAUUUUGUAUUGUUGAGACCUUAAAAGCUCACUGUACAUUUUUCGUGUCUUUUUUAAUGCACUUUUCGUUUAACAAGUCAACAUCAGUUUCUUUUGUUGUAAAAGGGUCAUUGGAAGGUGGCUUCCUUUUCGGAGAAAGUGUUUAUAGCCUUUGGCCUCUGCAAUCGAAGAGACUGAGGUCUGCAGCGUAGACUCUUCGGGGUUAGAUACAUUUGUGCUAAGUUAUAGCUUUUUAUAGACAACUUGUUGACUAUAAUUAGUCUUGUAGCUUACUCGCUUAUGCUAUUUUACCUACGCUUAGGAUGUUGAAGAUGUAGCACAUCAU
rnacentral:rRNA from 1 species